rnacentral:rRNA from 1 species
UACGGAGGUUCCCAAGCGUUGUUCGGAAUUACUGGGCGUAAAGGGAGCGCAGGCGGACAGGUCAGUUUAAAGUGGAAUCCCAGGGCUCAACCCUGGACGUGCUUUGGAUACUGCCUGUCUUGAGUUCGGUAGAGGAGGGCGGAAUUCCAGGUGUAGCGGUGAAAUGCGUAGAUAUCUGGAGGAACACCCGUGGCGAAGGCGGCUCUCUGGUCCGAUACUGACGCUGAGGCGCGAAAGGUAGGGUAGCAAACAGGAUUAGAUACCCUAGUAGU